rnacentral:lncRNA from 1 species
CUAACUCCUUUGUGCCAAGAACUCUCCCAAUCCAGAAAUUAAUCACUCCAACAAUGACGAAGAAGGCCAAAAUCGGAAGUAAUCUCUUGUUUUUUGGAACGGACGACGUGUUGUGAAGGUAAAAAUUUCUUCUUUCUGGUUACCGACAUGAGCUUGAGUGACGAAUUGAAAUGGUUUGACAGGGAGUAGUGGUGCGAGGGAAGAUUUUGGGGAAAAAUAUUUGUUUCUUCCGUCUACCAAUUUCACCUUGUUUCACUCUUCUUCCAUUUCCAUUUAUUUGUUGCUUGCUUAUGUAAAUGGAGAUGAAUAUGAAUUUAUCUGACAAACAAUGUUUUUUGUUUCCUCACUGUUAAAUGGAGACAAGUAUGGAUUUAGGAAAUUGGGCACACUGUCAUGUAUCUAUCUUCACGAAGCCUGUGCCUUUCUUCAUUAUGUUCCAUUAUUCACUUCAAUUGAUUCAUUUUUGAUAGGUCACUUCAAUUGAUUCAUAAUGUUGUAAAAGUAGAAAUAUAUAUCCUGCAACCAUAUGCUGCAUAAUUUGGUGAGGGAGAGAUUAUAAUAUCUUGUACUGUUUGUUGAGACGAUGCUAGUAGUUAAAAUGUUCAUUGCAGGAUUCUGUAAUGCCUGUGUACUUGGAAUAUUCCUGGAAGAGACUUGAUUUGUAGAAAUUGCAGUAAAUGUUGUUUAAUUUUCUCAUGUUUGUCAUUUUUCUCCUUACCUGGUUUGAAGCAUAUUGCAAUGGGAGGAAGGAGCUAAGGGAUGUGCGAUGGUUGCCGAAAGACGGGCCACUACUUGUUGAAUUGCCCGACGAAAAAAGCAUGUCCAGUAUGCGGCAAAGGAAUUCAAAAAUGCAUGGAGGUUGAAAAGAGGACUGAAAACUUAGGGCGGCUAUUCUUUUGCUGUACUAACGAUUGCAAUUAUUUCAAGUGGCUUGACGCGGACGAAUAUUGUGAAUAUGAGGGUCAAUCAAGCGGCACAUCGAAAAUUGAUGAGUU